rnacentral:rRNA from 1 species
AACGAACGCUGGCGGCAUGCCUAACACAUGCAAGUCGAACGAGACCUUCGGGUCUAGUGGCGCACGGGUGCGUAACGCGUGGGAACCUGCCUUUAGGUUCGGAAUAACUCAGAGAAAUUUGAGCUAAUACCGGAUGAUGUCUUCUGACCAAAGAUUUAUCGCCUUUGGAUGGGCCCGCGUUGGAUUAGCUUGUUGGUGGGGUAAAGGCCUACCAAGGCGACGAUCCAUAGCUGGUUUGAGAGGAUGAUCAGCCACACUGGGACUGAGACACGGCCCAGACUCCUACGGGAGGGAGCAGUGGGGAAUAUUGGACAGUGGGCGAAAGCAUGAUCCAGCAAUGCCGCGUGAGUGAUGAAGGCCUUAGGGUUGUAAAGCUCUUUUACCCGAGAUGGUAAUGACAGUAUCGGGAGAAUAAGCUCCGGCUAACUCCGUG